CCAUUCUCCUAUAAUUGAAGCACUUUUUAAUAAUUCCUGUCUCCACUUUUAAAAUCGUAGUAAAAUUUACAGACGAGCUUAAUCCUUUGUGACAAACAUUUAAAUAAGUACACUGGGAUGUUCUCAGCAGCUUAACUUAAAUUUUGUAGCGUGGAUGCUCCUCGUUUUUCAUUUGUGUUAAACUGAAAAGGUAUAGUAACUGCAAAAAAGCGCUGUCGCUUGACCAAUUAAAGUUUAAGAUUGGUGAAAAAAACAAUCCAUUUCUAUGUUUUCCAACAAAUUUUUGCCUUAAAUCAAUACAAUAUUGAUAAUAGAUUACGAAUUACAUAAGAAGUUCGAGACAGAGACCCUUAUUUUCCAUGAUUUUCUUUAAAUGCUGCCGUCGCCGAAAUGCAACUAUGGUACCGUAACGAUUUUAAACUGGAAUGUAACGAUCUUGAGAUGCGUUAUAUUCUUUUAAAUUUGUACUCAAAACAAUAUCAAAAGACUAUAUUUGGAAUAAAAUUGAUAAAUUAGACUCCUGCGAUGAUACAUUUCAACACAAACCGUUUUAUUGUAAAUAAUUCAAAUGUCGCGUUUAAAAUGCUAUGCCUCCGUAACGGGCGUUUACUUUUAAAUAUACAUUUUACCAAUCAAAUAAAAAUUUCAAAAUAUUGUUUUGUAUUUCUGUAAAUGAAAAACACCAAAAUGAGAUGUCGUUUGCACAAAAAUGUGAUAACUCUGACCCGUAGAAGUCUAAUUUCACUAUGUUUCCAUAACGACUAUUUUCCGUAACAAAAAGAUCAUCCGAAUUUCGGUACAGUACACGGUUCAAUUGACGGUGCGUCUUUUUUGCCUAUCACCGCUCCCAAUGAUACGUCACUUAGAGAAUGGUGCUUUUAAAAACAGAAAUACAAGAGACAAAGCAGAGAGGGGAAAACAACAAAUCAUUUAAAAGAGAAAGAAAGCAGAAAAAAGUAUGUUCCCAUUCAAAAAAGAAAAAGCACUGGUGAAGAAAAUGUAGAGGAAACUACAUGAAACAUUAUAACAUUACAACAAAUUUGUUAAAUUAGGCAGAAAUAAAGCAAAUAAAAGUGAAAAAAAAA